ACUUGAUAAAAGAAUUUUAGUUCUACCUAAAGCCUAAAUAAAGUUUUAUAAACUAACAUUCAUGCUUUAGAGUUAUUCAAAUAAGGUACAGCCUAUUUGAAUAAGGAAACAACCUAGACUAAUGGGUAAGACAUCUACAGUGUAUUAAAGUGGGCCUAAAAGCAGCCACCUUCAAUAAUAGCGUCAAAGCUUACCUAUACAAGUACAUUCAAUUUUUUAUCCUAAUCCAAACCCUUUAUUUUCAUCAAGUAAUUCUAUAUAACUAUAGAACAUAAAAUGUUAAAACUAGUAACAAGAAGUAAACCCUUCUCUUAAAUGCAAGUGUAGGCCAGGAAGGAUAAACCACUGUCAAUUAACACCAAUGAUUUUUAAUUAACAACACUACAAGAGAACCCUAAUAAAACAAGUGUUAAACUAACACAAGAGCAUUUCAAGAAAGAUUAAAAGAAAAAGAAGGAACUCGGCAAACACCAACCCCGCCUGUUUACCAAAAACAUCGCCUCUUGACAAAUAUAAGAGGUCCAGCCUGCCCAGUGACCUAGUUCAACGGCCGCGGUAUCCUAACCGUGCGAAGGUAGCGUAAUCACUUGUUCUUUAAAUGGGGACUAGUAUGAAUGGCAUCACGAGGGUUACACUGUCUCCUUUUUUUGAUCAGUGAAACUAAUCUUCCCGUGAAGAAGCGGGAAUAUCUUUAUAAGACGAGAAGACCCUAUGGAGCUUUAAACAAAUUAACACCUGCUGCCCGAGAUUGUUCUUUCAGAAAUAUAAAACAUAGCAUAGCAUGAUGAUUAAUAGUUUUUGAUUGGGGUGAUCACGGAGUAAAAAACAACCUCCAUGCCGAAAGGGGUUUUACCCUGAGCAAAAAACCACAAUUUUAAGCACUAAAAAAUUAACGUUUAUUGACCCAGUAUAAUGAUCAACGAACCAAGUUACCCUAGGGAUAACAGCGCAAUCCACUUCAAGAGCUCCUAUCGACAAGUGGGUUUACGACCUCGAUGUUGGAUCAGGGUAUCCCAGUGGUGCAGCCGCUACUAACGGUUCGUUUGUUCAACGAUUAAAACCCU
rnacentral:rRNA from 1 species